rnacentral:rRNA from 1 species
GACGAACGCUGGCGGCGUGCUUAACACAUGCAAGUCGAACGGAAAGGCCCUGCUCUUGUGGGGUGCUCGAGUGGCGAACGGGUGAGUAACACGUGAGUAACCUGCCCUUGACUUUGGGAUAACUUCAGGAAACUGGGGCUAAUACCGGAUAGGAGCUCUUGCUGCAUGGUGGGGGUUGGAAAGUUUCGGCGGUUGGGGCUGGACUCGCGGCUUAUCAGCUUGUUGGUGGGGUAGUGGCUUACAAGGGCUGUGACGGGUAGCCGGCGUGAGAGGGUGACCGGCCACAUUGGGACUGAGAUACGGCCCAGACUGCUACGGUAGGCAGCAGUGGGGAAUAUUGCACAAUGGGCGGAAGCCUGAUGCAGCAACGCCGCGUGCGGGAUGACGGCCUUCGGGUUGUAAACCGCUUUCGCCUGUGACGAAGCGUGAGUGACGGUAAUGGGUAAAGAAGCACCGGCUAACUACGUG